rnacentral:rRNA from 1 species
CCUACGGGUGGCAGCAGUGAGGAAUAUUGGUCAAUGGACGAGAGUCUGAACCAGCCAAGUAGCGUGAAGGAUGACUGCCCUAUGGGUUGUAAACUUCUUUUAUAUGGGAAUAAAAUGUUCCACGUGUGGGAUUUUGUAUGUACCAUAUGAAUAAGGAUCGGCUAACUCCGUGCCAGCAGCCGCGGUAAUAGGGGGGAGCCGAGCGUUAUCCGGAUUUAUUGGGUUUAAAGGGAGCGUAGGUGGAUUGUUAAGUCAGUUGUGAAAGUUUGCGGCUCAACCGUAAAAUUGCAGUUGAAACGGGCAGUCUUGAGUACAGUAGAGGUGGGCGGAAUUCGUGGUGUAGCGGUGAAAUGCUUGGAUAUCACGAAGAACUCCGAUUGCGAAGGCAGCUCACUGGACUGCAACUGACGCUGAGGAGCGAAAGCGUGGGUAGCAAACAGGAUUAGAUACCCCAGUAGUC